GAGAAAGAAAAAAAGGGAGGAAGAAAGGAAAUCGCAGCCAUACGGGCUACGCUCCCCCAGCUGAACUGUAUCUGCAUUUUAACGGUGAGAGAAAAGACGCUAUAUGGCGGUGUGCUCCUCCCUCUACACUGCCUCAUCUGUCAGCCAUUAGUUAAUCAGGGCUGGUAACAGAGCACAGAGAGCUGGCACAAUGCGUGGGACAAGGGGACAGCUUCACCUCUGAGAGAGGGCAAGGACUCAGGGACCUCUGCUUCACCGAUCUACAGCUGGGCUGCCCCACUCACCAGCACCCACUCAGGUUGGUGCCCUGGUGUUAUCCUAAUGUCUUUCUGAGGUGUAAGCAUGUUCUGAAUGUAAGUUAAAAUCCUCCGGAUCACUUUACCAUAAAGGAGAAAAAAAAAAACCUUGAGAAAAACAGCACAUAAAUCAGUGGGUCACAUGGUAAAUGAAACACUCUUGAGACAGAUUUGCCCUCCCACGUUGUCCCAGCAAUUAAUUUCACAUGAUUAGGUGGGUUAAAGCAAGUAUAAUCCGGUGAGGUUCAUUUAGGCAUAAUGGAUUACUAUAAAAUGGAAUGACUCUAUCGCUUUAAAUUUGGCACAAAGCUGAAAAGCAGCCAAGUAUAACAGCUUUUCUGUGAAAAAAAAAUAAAAAGUUUAUUCAAAGCAGAACAAAACCUCUGCAGAGAAAGACAUAAUUGAUAUUUCAAACAAUUUGAAAUGAACAAGCAGCUCUGAAUAUACUACUUAGUGACUACAAAGCGGCAUUCUUGAGUUUCACAGCUCUGGAACAAAUCACAUAAUUGAGUGCUAAACCAGAUACAAAUUUAUGCCUUUUUUGAGAACUACAAAACCAUAAAACAGCUUGGGGAGUUUUGAACAUAGACAUCUGACUUUUAAAUUUACAAAAAUAUGAUUUCUUACAGAUAUAUUUCUUACAGAUAACUUCAGGACAAUCAGACUGAUAUUAGAUACUCUUAGUGAGCACCUAUGUCUUUGUCUAGGAGUGGCAGACGGCAACCUCAAGAUGACCCCACCCACUGCUUUACUGUGAGCAGGUAAGCCAACAGGACACAUGGAAACUGUUAGGCAUCCAAGAGAAACUCGACUAGAGUUUAAAUAUCUGUCACUCAGCCAAUAUGGCAAUCAAAGCAGCUAAUACUGUAUAGUACCUCACAGAGAGAAGGUGAAUUCCACAAAACCAACUAAGCACUUUAGCUCAGAUCAAAACUUCUUCCUGUGUAAAUGUGUUCAGGGAUCAAAUACUCUGAUCACUAAGACCUCAAGCGACAUAUGAAAAUAUUUAUUGUUCUGAGGACUAUAAUUACACCAUAACAGUACUUCUGUUCAAAACAACUGUUUAUGUUUGGGCUAAAAAAAAUCAGAAAGUCCCUCUUAAACAUCUUAAUGUGAGUUUUGACAAGAUCUUGCAAGACCAGUGAUAUUUAUAUUUUAUAUACUGGUUUCAGCUUGGUUUUUUUUUUAGCUACAAUGAUGAUGUACUACACUAUAAUGACAAUUCAUUUCAGACUAAUUUCUAUUCCUAGGACUACAGCCAAGUUCUGAAUAUAGCUUUAAAGUUUAAUAUGUCUUUUUCUUGAUUGUUUUAAAAGAAAUAAUGUCUUAUUAAGCAUGAAGAAAAUGACAUGUUUUUGUGUUAUAUGUUUCCUAUAUUUAGUGGUUCUAAACAAGACCAUAUCUCAAAAUGUGAGAGCCAAGGUCGAAUUCCAAUCACAUUGCAGCACGCUCGCAAUGCAAGAAGAUGGUAAUACCAAGCAUAUGGUAACUGUAGUUACAUAGACUCUUCAAAGGAGCUCAGUGCUGACCUGGAGCAAGAACUAACUUGCAAGUGUAGGCUGUGUGAAGGGAGUGUAGAAUUAUACCCUAGGCUACAUGUUGUCAAGGCUGUGAGAUCUCAUCUCUUCAAACAGCACGUUUGCUCUAUAUGGUCAAACAUGCCUAUGCAAAAUUAGAAUGCAAAAUAUCAUCUGUACAGCAAAUCAAGCAAAGAGGAAGUGGUAGCUGGGAACUGAAUGCACUCGAAGAUAACGUUAUGUUUUUUUGUCACAGCUUUAUCAGUAUCACAGUGUUCUCUGGUGCAUAGAUUAAACUGCAGAUCAGAGAAACAGGGAGACAAGAGGGAGGAAGAGAGAAAGUCAUGGAAUAUUCAGGCUGCUUUUCUGUCCAUGGGCUUGUUUUGCAGGGAGGUUUCAAAGACAGAAGUCAAAACAACACAUGUUGUCAACAUGGGAACAGCUGGUAUGAGCAGCGUCAUGGGGCAGAAGAAUGUCAAAAGUCAUAGAUCUUUUAUCCAUCAGGCCAAAAUAGCCACCCAGACUUGUUUGAAACCACGCACAGAUGCAGUGUGAAACCCCAGAGUUUAUGUAUGUGACUCAUAUCAUGCAAUUUUUGCCCACAACCAAUCCUACAAGAUAUUUUGAACAGCAGAAACUGUAAGAGGAAUUCAACAAAAACAAGGACAUGCAAAUAUAUUCAAAUGCAAAAUAUAAACAUAUUUUGUUUGAGAGUGAAGUUACAGCAUCUAGUGAUGAAUUUCAGAUGGGACAAGUUGAUUUUGCCACAUUAUUCAUCCCAAGAUACGGUUGAUUAUACGAUGUGGAAAUGAUUUCCUUCCUGUCUCUGUCAGUGCAGUUCCCGACAGACUGUCAGCUGCAGGAGCUGCAGUGUUCUUCUGAUUGGCUAAAACUAAACAGCAUAUUCUGCACUCCAUGCCAAAGUAUGACUUUGCCAUCUCCAAAGAGUUAAAUAAACACCCAGUUGAGUAGGCAUAUACAGUCUCUUCAACACAGUUUCCUUUUUAAGUCAACACUACUCAGAAAAGAUACACCAAGCAACCAUAAGUCAAAACGAAAUGACAAAACAGGCAAGUUUUUUCCGUCUGUCUAAACAUUCCACUGAGAGCUUUUUCCAUUACCAUGUUACACUGAAACAUCCAGUAGAGCUCAGAUGAAUACUAUGCUGCAGACUGCUGCAGAAAAAAAAAUGAGGAAAGGCCAUAUAAAAGAAGAAGAAAAAAAAUCACAUUCAUGAUGACAUAACUUGAAAAAUACAAACAGCAGACCAGCCGUAAAGUUGGUGACCUUUGACACAGGACAUCCAAGUCUAAGUCCCUCUUCCUGCUAAAUGUUACCCAGCUGCUUUUCUAAUCUGUCAUAGCAACCAGUUUGCCACAGCUUGCAAACAGGGAAGUAUGGAAAAGCUCAGAAAAGUGGGAGAUUCUGACCGUGAAUUUAUGUUAAAAAAAAAAAAAAAAAAAAAGAAUUAAAAAUGCAAAGCAUGAUGCAAGAGAAGGAGAAUAAGAUAGCUCUACAUUGUUUUUGUAAUGGAAAAAUAUCCACACCGGCUGUGUGCAUGUCUUAUUAACACAAACAGAACACUACUUACAAUAUUCCUUUUAUGGCAGUAUUAUAGAGGUGAUAGAGCUCUUUUGGUAAGUAAGUGCAAAUCGCAGUGUUUACCAAAAUUGUAAUUACUUUUUAUACCAUAUCACCCCAAUCCCUUUUCCUACUGGGCCUCUUUUUGAAAUUCUGCUAACCCUGUGCCUGCUCUCAGCCAAGUCCAUGGGUGGUAGCAUGUCUUGGCAACAGGAAAUAUGCCUCCAUCAGAUGAAAAACACACCCAAAGAAAAAACACUGCAUCAACAAGAAAACAAAUAAAGAUGUGUUUACAACAUCAAAAACAAACAUCAGGUGUUGUUUUCAGACCCUCAGAUUUGAGGAGGGUCUUCUUGUAGAUUCACCAUUUUCUGAAAAUGGUAAACACAAAAGAGAAGCCACAGCAGAUAACCAGAGACAGAUAGAGGCAUUGGCAAUAUUCCCUGCUAGGAGUCUGCCUCAGUAGACCCUGUCAAUGGAUUGGUCAGUUAUGUGACGUACAGUGACUUUUUGUCAUUUUAAGAAAUAAAAGAAUAAAAAGUAGUUGCACACCCUAACGUCUCCAAAGUUAGGGUGCUGAAACACUGAUGCGAAGCUAUUGUGAGGAAUCCCAAAAUAUUGUUUUUUCUCAUGUUUCAGAUAAUUAAUUAAUUGAGAAAUAAGGCCAACUGCACAUUAGCUGAUAAUGGAAAGUAUUGUUAUUUGCACCUAAAAAUAAAAAGAGCACCACGACUCAAAGGUGGGUUUUCUUCUGCUUGAAUGUUGUUGUGUUUCAGUAGCGAGUGCAGAAAGGACUGAAGAAAUAAUUUUGAUUAACAGUGCAUCAGGCACUGACUUACACAGUGGAAUUUCAUCACAUCUGUGGACCAGCGGCCCUGUGAGCACAGAUGAUGAACAAGUAGAAACAGAGCUGACAGACAGCUAGCUCGUGUGAAAUGCACAGCACACACAGUCAAAUAGCACAAUGCAAGUACAGCUAAAUCUCUAACCCUCUGCAGUGUAGCUAAAACGUCACAGCCGUACUGAAGGACUGUUAUGUUCCUGUUACUCAAAGUGGGCCACAACACCCAAUCUAUCACUGUCUGACUGAGCGAAAUGUCGAGGCCACAAACUCCAUUUCAUUCCAUCCCAUCAACUUGACUGGCCAGAAUGGGACCAGGCCCCGUCAAGUCUGAGAUGGUAGCCUCGUGUGAGAAGAAUAUAUGUUUCAGUAGAGUCUAAGAAGUGUCUCCUAAAGGUUUAAAACUACUUCAUAAUGCUUGACCAACAAGUUGAGGAAAAGCAGACGCUCUCUACCUGUGUCAAAGUGAGGCCAUGUUCCCUAUCAUUCGAUUGGCUAGGGGUAGACCAAUCUAAAUGCUUCCAGACUUUCACGCCCUGUAUCCUCUCAUUUCAUCUCCCUGCAUCUCUCCCAGCUCAGAUCAACCACAAAAUAACAGCCACCCUUACUAGAUGGGCUGCUCUCUUAAUGUCUUCCAAUACCCUGAGCAAACUCAUUGUGGUUCAGAGUCAGCCCUUAUUUCUUCAGAAGGGGCUUUGCUCCUACAGAGACAGUAUUAAGAUCAUCAUUUGACUGCUCUCUAAGCGACAAUGAACUGUGGAGGAUAAGGAUGUUUAUGCAAGUGCUAGUAAAGAAAAUCUAUAUUGCAGCGUGCAAUAUGUCAAACGUUUCUUCAUGUCAUCAAACUGCUUCCAUCUGCUUCCAUCACAUCAGGGACGGAAGAGACUUCCAUCCCUGAUGUGAAAGCCCUGCUGGGAUCCAAAUAUUUAGAAUCUUCAGAUAACAUCUCACAGCAUCUGGUUUUCUGCCUCCAAAGUCUUAAUGGUUUGCCAAAAUCCGCAGGCCAUAGUGCUUGACUUUUAACCAUCAAAUCAUCAAUUGAACUAUUUUGCUUUCUCUCAAAGGCCAAAAUGAAACAUUAUCUCCCGACUCACAUUUAAAUUAAAGCCAUGACAAGAACCAUGCUAGCGAGGACCAAGGGGAAGGGGGAGGGUGGCCCUUCCAGCCACCGCUUCCAUUGCUCAGACUCGACUGGCAUAUGGGCAGGAUCAGGAAACACAAGCUCAAUGAUGUCAUGACCAACUGACCCUAGGGUGACAGGUUUGGAGAAUGUUCUUGCCCAGUGCCCUCAGGCCAAAGUCAAGUAUGUCAAUGUUGUGCAUGUGGAUUUCAUCUGAAGUAGCAUGAUUAGUUCACAGACAUUCAACUGCGGUCCCCCUCCAUGGGAAACCCACUCUCGACAGGAAACUGUAUGUUUUUGUUAGCAACAAACAGGCAUAAAUUACUAAAAUGGUGCGUUGGUGCCAAUUUAUCACACACAGCCUUAUUGUUGUUCCUUGCACACAUUUGACAUCAACAUUGCUUUUAAGGUAAUUACCAUUAGUUAAUGAUAUUUACAUUCUUGAUAGUUUAUGUUGAACUGUGUGUCUUCUAUUGUAAUUUUGUGCAUUAAAUGUGAUAAUUGUU